rnacentral:rRNA from 1 species
UACAGAGGGUGCGAGCGUUGUUCGGAAUUAUUGGGGCGUAAAGCGCUUGUAGGCGGUCUGUUAAGUUCCGUGUGAAAGCCCUUGGCUUAACCAAGGAAGUGCGCGGAAAACUGGCGGACUUGAGUGCCGGAGAGGGUCGCGGAAUUCCCGGUGUAGAGGUGAAAUUCGUAGAUAUCGGGAGGAACACCAGUGGCGAAGGCGGCCGACCUGGACGGACACUGACGCUGAGACGCGAAAGCGUGGGGGAGCAAACAGG